rnacentral:miRNA from 1 species
CAGUAAGUGCUUAAUAAGGAAU